rnacentral:rRNA from 1 species
AACGAACGCUGGCGGCAUGCCUAACACAUGCAAGUCGAACGAGACCUUCGGGUCUAGUGGCGCACGGGUGCGUAACGCGUGGGAAUCUGCCCUUGGGUUCGGGAUAACAGUUGGAAACGACUGCUAAUACCGGAUGAUGACUUCGGUCCAAAGAUUUAUCGCCCAGGGAUGAGCCCGCGUCGGAUUAGCUAGUUGGUGAGGUAAGAGCUCACCAAGGCGACGAUCCGUAGCUGGUCUGAGAGGAUGAUCAGCCACACUGGGACUGAGGCACGGCCCAGACUCCUACGGGAGGCAGCAGUGGGGAAUAUUGGACAAUGGGCGAAAGCCUGAUCCAGCAAUGCCGCGUGAGUGAUGAAGGCCUUAGGGUUGUAAAGCUCUUUUACCCGGGAUGAUAAUGACAGUACCGGGAGAAUAAGCCCCGGCUAACUCCGUG